UGGGGAAUCUUGCACAAUGGGGGAAACCCUGAUGCAGCGACGCCGCGUGAGCGAUGAAGCCCUUCGGGGUGUAAAGCUCUUUCGGCAGGAACGAUAAUGACGGUACCUGCAGAAGAAGCUGCGGCUAACUACGUGCCAGCAGCCGCGGUAAUACGUAGGCAGCAAGCGUUGUUCGGAAUUACUGGGCGUAAAGAGUGUGUAGGUGGUGUCGUAAGUUUGGUGUGAAAUCUCCCGGCUUAACUGGGAGGGUGCGCCGAAGACUGCGAUGCUGGAGUAUGGGAGAGGAAAGCGGAAUUCCUGGUGUAGCGGUGAAAUGCGUAGAUAUCAGGAGGAACACCUGCGGUGUAGACGGCUUUCUGGACCAUUACUGACACUGAGACACGAAAGCGUGGGUAGCAAACAG
rnacentral:rRNA from 1 species